rnacentral:tRNA from 1 species
GCGAAGGUGGCGGAAUUGGUAGACGCGCUAGCUUCAGGUAUUAGUGUUCUUACGGACGUGGGGGUUCAAGUCCCCCCCCUCGCACCA